rnacentral:rRNA from 1 species
GACGAACGCUGGCGGCGUGCCUAAUACAUGCAAGUAGAACGCAGUUGCGAACGGGUGAGUAACGCGUAGGUAACUGCCUCAUAGCGGGGGAUAACUAUUGGAAACGAUAGCUAAUACCGCAUACUGUGAGAUGGACCUGCGUUGUAUGAGCUAGUUGGUGAGGUAAAGGCUCACCAAGGCGACGAUACAUAGCCGAGCUGAGCGGGUGAUCGGGCACACUGGGACACAGAGACGUGCCAGACUCCUACGAGGUGCAGGAGUAGGGACUCUUGGGGAAUGGGCGGAAGUCUGACCGAGCAACGCCGCGGGAGUGAAGAGGGUGUUCGGAUCGUACAGCUCUGUUGUUAGAGUAGGGGUAACUAGCCAGAAAGGGACGGCUAACUACGUGCCAGCAGCCGCGGUAAUUC